UUCCAGGUGGCCUAUGUUUUAAUCAAAUUUGCAAAUUCUCCUCGCCCUGAUCUUUGGGUCUUGGAAAGAUCUGUUGACUUUGGAAGCACCUACUCACCUUGGCAAUAUUUUGCUCAUUCUAAAGUAGACUGUUUGGAACAGUUUGGGCAGGAAGCAAACAGGGCUAUCACCCGAGAUGAUGAUGUACUUUGUACUACGGAAUAUUCCCGAAUUGUGCCAUUGGAAAAUGGUGAGGUUGUGGUGUCCUUGAUAAAUGGUCGACCAGGUGCGAAAAAUUUUACUUUCUCUCACGCCCUGAGGGAGUUCACCAAGGCCACAAACAUCCGCCUGCGUUUUCUCCGAACCAAUACCCUUCUUGGACACCUCAUCUCCAAAGCGCAGAGAGAUCCAACCGUCACCCGGCGGGUGA